AACCGUCGAGUAAUCGGACUUGGCGAAGGACUGAUUGGAGUCAUGGAU
rnacentral:ncRNA from 1 species